GUAAUCUGCAUAGGACAGUGGCCUGGUCACAGGGGCCCAUUGUGGGGAGGUUGGGAAGUUAAAGAACACUCUGGUCUCCUCCAUCAUGUCGGCCAAGAAGGCAGAACUGAAGAAAACGAGCCUGACAUAUGACUACAAAGCAGUAAAACAAGGAGGGCCGUUUACCAAACCAGGAGGGACGCACGAGCUAAGGAAUGAACUCAGGGAGGUGAGGGAAGAGCUCAAGGAAAAAAUGGACGAGAUCAAACAGAUAAAGGGCAUAAUGGACAAGGAUUUUGAUAAACUCCAGGAAUUCGUGGAGAUUAUGAAGGAAAUGCAGAAGGAUAUGGAUGAGAAGAUGGAUGUUUUAAUAAAUAUACAGAAGAACAGCAAGCUUCCCCUUAGAAGAGGGCCAAAGGAACAGCAGGAACUCAGGCUGGUAGGGAAAACAGACACAGACCCACAGCUCCGGCUCAAGAAGAUGGAGGGAGCUGAUGGAACACCACUUUCUCUUCACAAGAAGAUGAUGGCACUACAAAAACCAAAAAAGGGCCCUCUGGAUUCCCUUCAUCAAUGCGGGCCAUGCUGCCAAGACCUGAUGAGGUGCCCAGCAGGCUGGCCAUCUUGGACCAGGGAAAAAUGAUCUUUCUUGUGCCGUUUCUGUCCUCUACAGGAAAAAUGUUUGUUGUGUGCCCUAAAGAACAACUACAAUCAGGGCAGCAGAAAACUUCCAUAUCAGGCCUGGCCACCCUUUUCAUCCUUGGCUUCUGGAGCUGCUAUCUGAUUUAUCUGUACUGCCAGCCCUGUGUGGUGGAGGACAUGCUCCCAACCUAGCGCCGCCGCGGAACCCAUCAGCAGCUCCAGCUUUUCCUCCCCCCGCCCCACACUUCGAGCUGCACGGCUAAGGCUUGUGGCCCUUGGACCUGCCACCCUGCCCCAGGCCUACCCCCACCCGGAGAUUAAAAUCUUUGUUUAAAGCC